UACAGAGGGUGCAAGCGUUGUUCGGAAUUAUUGGGCGUAAAGCGCGUGUAGGCGGCUUAGUAAGUUGGGUGUGAAAGCCCUCGGCUUAACCGAGGAAGUGCGCCCAAAACUGCUUGGCUUGAGUACCGGAGAGGGUGGCGGAAUUCCCGGUGUAGAGGUGAAAUUCGUAGAUAUCGGGAGGAACACCAGCGGCGAAGGCGGCCACCUGGACGGAUACGUGACGCUGAGA
rnacentral:rRNA from 1 species